rnacentral:rRNA from 1 species
CUCUUUCUCGAUUCAGUGGAUGGUGGUGCAUGGCCGUUCUUAGUUGGUGGAGYGAUCUGUCUGGUUAAUUCCGAUAACGAACGAGACUCUCCCCUGCUAACUAGUCGGUUGGAUCUUGAUCAGUGGGUUGAGUGCCGAGUAACUCUCGCUGUGCGUGGUGUGCGUCUCGUUCCUCACGGUUCGUUGCGUGCUCAUGUGUGGCGUUGGAUGCCUUGGAUCACACUGCACCCCAAGUCCGCCGCUUUGCUAUAACUCUUCUUAGAGGGAUUCACGGCACUGAAGCCGUAAGAGACUGAGAGCAAUAACAGGUCUGUGAUGCCCUUAGAUGCUCUGGGCCGCACGCGCGCUACAAUGCCGGGCACAGCAGGUGUUUCUCCUGCUCCGACAGGAGCGGGUAACCCUCUGAAAGCCAGUGUUCUUGCAAGUGCUUCCUCCCUCGUGGAGUUGCACAGAGGCGUGCUUGGGCCUGGGACUUGCAAUUCUUUCCCACCAACGAGGAAUGCCUAGUAGCGGCGGGUCACUGAGCCCGCUGUGACUCAGUCCCUGCCCUUUGUACACACCGCCCGUCGCUACUACCGAUUGGGUGUACCAGUGAGAGCCUUGGACUGGCGUCCGUUGUUGCUCGCAAGAGUGACAAGCGGGUCCGACGGAAAGAGGUCCGAACUGGUGCACUUAGAGGAAGUAAAAGUCGUAACAAGGUUUCCGUAGGUGAACCUGCGGAAGGAUCAUUA